rnacentral:rRNA from 1 species
UGGGGAAUAUUGCACAAUGGGGGAAACCCUGAUGCAGCGACGCCGCGUGAGCGAAGAAGGCCUUCGGGUCGUAAAGCUCUUUUAUAUGGGAAGAUAAUGACGGUACCAUAAGAAAAAGCCCCGGCUAAAUACGUGCCAGCAGCCGCGGUAAUACGUAUGGGGCGAGCGUUGUCCGGAAUUAUUGGGCGUAAAGGGUACGUAGGCGGUCUAUUAAGUCAGGUGUGAAAGCGUGAGGCUUAACCUCAUUAAGCACUUGAAACUGAUAGACUUGAGUGAAGGAGAGGAAAGUGGAAUUCCUAGUGUAGCGGUGAAAUGCGUAGAUAUUAGGAGGAAUACCGGUGGCGAAGGCGACUUUCUGGACUUUUACUGACGCUCAGGUACGAAAGCGUGGGGAGCAAACAGG